UACGGGGGGAGCAAGCGUUGUUCGGAUUUACUGGGCGUAAAGGGCGCGUAGGCGGCCACCGCAAGUCACUUGUGAAAUCUCCGGGCUUAACUCGGAACGGCCAAGUGAUACUGUCGUGCUAGAGUGCAGAAGGGGCAAUCGGAAUUCUUGGUGUAGCGGUGAAAUGCGUAGAUAUCAAGAGGAACACCUGAGGUGAAGACGGGUUGCUGGGCUGACACUGACGCUGACAGCGCGAAAGCUAGGGGAGCAAACGGG
rnacentral:rRNA from 1 species